rnacentral:sRNA from 1 species
GGGGAAGGGUGAGAACCUUCGAUUAAGGUUCGACUCGAGCGAAAGCGAGAGAACGUUGCCAACGGCAACGGCCCGUAGGGUGAGGAGCGAAGCGACGAAUAAUCCUUCCCACACCACCA